rnacentral:misc_RNA from 1 species
GAUGAAGAACGUAGCGAAAUGCGAUAAGUAAUGUGAAUUGCAGAAUUCAGUGAAUCAUCGAAUCUUUGAACGCACAUUGCGCCCGCCAGUAUUCUGGCGGGCAUGCCUGUUCGAGCGUCAUUUCAACCAUCAAGCCCUGCUUGCGUUGGGGUCCUGCGGCUGCCCGCAGGCCCUGAAAACCAGUGGCGGGCUCGCUAGUCACACCGAGCGCAGUAAUACAUCUCGCUUCGGGCGUGCGGCGGGUUCUUGCCGUUAAACACCCCCUUUUUACCAAGGUUGACCUCGGAUCAGGUAGGAAUACCCGCUGAACUUAAGCAUAUCAAUAAGCGGAGGA